UCAUGUAAACGCAAAUGUGAGGAAUCCUCAAAAUCAGGUGACUACACCAUCAGAGAAGCCAAAUCCAUGUUUUACAUGCUGAUCUGAUUCAUUUGUACAAAAGUUUAAAGCAGACUGAGCCACCCUCAGGGUUACUAGCACAACUUCAGACAAGAGUUCUGGCCUUCUUCUGGGACGGCAUGCAUUGGGUCCAGCAGGGGGUGUUGUACUUGCCUAGAGACAAGGGAGGACAGGGCCUCAUCCACCUGGCCAGCAGGACCGCCGCUUUUAGAAUACAGUUUGUACAGAGGUUUUUAACAGGGCCGGUGGACCUAAUGUGGAGAGAUGUGGCCAGAUGUGUCUUCAGACGGGGAACCCACGGUGCACGGAGCCAGGCUGGACGUCUCGGCCGAAGCCGCGCCGAGGCUGGCGGCUGCACUGUGGCGGACCCGGACCUUACUCCUCCAGCACAUAGUGGCCAUGGCAGGGUCAGACCUAACGGGCGCGGAGGCAGUGGGUUCCCUGUUGGGCAUCCGCUCUACCCAGGCAGCCGAGGGGGUGCUUUGGCUAUGGAGGAACAAACUCAGCACGAGAGAGAGGCGCAUCCUUGUGGACUACGGCCAGGGGACCGAACCCGACAGUGAGGACCCCUUCCCGGAGAUCAGGCUGGCCGCCCAUCUCGUGAAUCUAGACGGUCCUCUCCUCAGACUAGCAAAGACCUUCUCCCUGGUAGCAGUCGAUAAGAAGACCCUAUACAACGACUGCGUGAAGGUACUAAACAGGAGAGGACUGUCGAACAGGAGCACCAGCGUGUGGGCUGAUCGACUGGGAGGGGAUGGAGCCCGCCCCUGCUGGAGGGUCCUUUACAAGCCGCCCCUGAAGAAGAGGACCGGGGACCUCCAGUGGAGGAUCCUACAUGGGGCUGUUGCCCUGAACGCUCUCCUCUCCAGAAUGAACACUGCUGUGUCGGACCAGUGCCCGUUUUGCUCCGGGCGAGAGACUGUGUUCCACGCGUACAGUGAGUGUGAGAGGCUCACUGUACUUUUUAAUGUCAUGAAGGGUGUUUUUAAUGGUUUUAAUGAAACAUUUUUGAUUAGAACUAUUUUUGGUGCAGGAUACAACAAAGCUGCUCGCAACAAGUGGCAACUCCUGAAUUUUAUUUGUGGUGAGGCAAAAAUGGCAAUUUACAUCUCCAGGAAAAACAAAAUUUCAAAAACUGGAGAUAGUGAGGCCACCUCUGUAUGGCGCUGCAAUGUCCGGUGUUGGCUGAGGUUGGAAUUUGGUUUUUAUAAAAUGAUAAACGACCUCGGCCAAUUCCGCGAUAUAUGGUGUCACAGAAAUGUUUUAUGCACUGCUACGGAGGACCAUUUGCACUUUGCACACCCCCUGGUGGGAUAA
rnacentral:lncRNA from 1 species